rnacentral:lncRNA from 10 species
CUGGGAUCGGGGAGCAACUGAAGGCCUGGCUGCUGGAAUGCUCCUGAAACACAUUAGGAAUCUGAAGAGAAGAUGGCAAAAGAGUCUGAGAGGCAGUGGCCAGAAGGAGAAGGAAAGCAGGUGGAUGUGAAGAAAGUGUUCAACGUGGAGGGAGGAACCAGCCAUGUCAAAUGAUGCUGACAGCCAGGAAGCUGAGGCAUCACCCGAGAAGAAGGCUCAGCGAGUCCGUGUAAGGCAAGCGGGACUGUAAGCUCCAUGAGGACAGGAACCUUGUCUCUUGUUCGCCAUCGCCCCGCUGUGUGAGCACAGUGCUAGGGAUGUACUAGGUGUUCAAAAGGCAUAUAUUGGAUGAUGAGCUAAUGAAUGGCAAAAUGGGCAGAUUAUCACAGUACCUGAAACCACAGGACCUCACCCUAAAUGGGCACAGGCCAGAUGCCCAGUGCUUUUUUUUUUUUUUUUUUUUUGAGAUGUGGUCUCACUCUGUUGCUCAGCCUGGAGUGCAGUGGCGCAAUCACCAACCACUGCAGCCUCGACUUCCUGGGUUCAGGCAAUCCUCCCACCUCAGCUUCCUGAGCAGCUGGGACUACAGGUGUGCACCACCACACCCAGCUAAUUUUUGUACUUUUUGUAGAGACAGGGCUUUGCCAUGUUGCCCAGGCUGUUAUCGAAUUCCUGUGCUCAAGUGAUCCACCCACCUCCACCUCCAAAAAUGCUGGGAUUACAGGCGUGAGCCACCAUGCCUAGCCUGCCCGGUGCUAUUCUGAUUCAUACACUUAUAUUUAUAGCCAUCAAAUCUCAGGGCUUCCUUGGGUCCCUGGGCGACCUCUGGCCAGUCUCUUUCCUGCUCUUGCCUCUCUCACCGAGCUUAGAAGAGGCUAGGCUUAGGGCUUCUUGUAAAAUGACCAGCUUUCUCUAAUUGAAGACCAGGGUACCCUAUCACAUUUGUAUCUAUUCUUUGCUCUUUUUCUCUUUCCUAGUGACCCUCAUGUUGUCAUAUUUGUUGCCAAGCUCACUAAGGAGGGCACCACGGGACCAGGGUUGUCACCUCUAGGCAGAGGGGAAGCUUGAAAAUGACAACACAUGGCCCUAGGAUGUUCAUAGGCACCAUCACAAUUCAACUGCUUCCUCAAGGCCCAGGGAAUAUUUUUCUUUGCAAACUACUAGUAUUCUAUCAGUAUGACUAGUAGUUUAAAUUGUUUGGAAUCUUCUGGUCCAAGGCAGAGCUGUGGGGCUGUGGAGGCAAAGUCCUGCCUGAAAUGGGACCCCCUGCAGGGUGCCUGAAGUCUAAGGGUCUGGGUCCUCAGCCACGGAUCACACAGCCUGGAGCCUGUGAGUGGGGAGCCCCUGCCACACUUCCCUCAGCCAGAAUCCUAAACCCGCAGGAGUCCCGGGGCUCUGCGACACUCUCUAGCCCAACUCUCUUCAACACCAAACCCCUUAUGCAUCUGUCAGAUGGUCCUUCAACUUCUGGGUGAAGUGCCGGUUUAAAAGUGAACUGCCAGAGAAGCAGUCGCUCCAGAUGUCUUCAAAGGCCAGUGUCUGUAACCCCAUCUGUUCUUACCUCAAAGGCCAGGCUCCCAUCCAUCAUGAUGGGGAGAGGUGGGAAAGGGCUGGCUGGUCCUGUCAACUCCGAUAAACAGGUGAAACACUGGCCAGGUGUU